rnacentral:lncRNA from 1 species
CUGCAUAUCAAACUUUAUCAUUCUCUUAUAGAAACUUUUCAAAUGGCAUUUCCAAGAAACUCUAAAUGAUUAAGCACAAUGAUGCAAAAAAAUUAACAUGAAUCUCCAUCACAUCAAUGAAAGUGCUAUGAUUGGGCAAAAGAGGAAAGCUGAAGUUCUGAUCAUAAAGCUGGCUAAACAUUUCCUUAAGUAACCUGAAGACUUGAGGAAAGGACCCAUCUUACUCUCUAUUUCAUCAAACCUUUCUUUGCACCAUUUCACAGUAGGUUCAUCCAUUUUGUUGACAACAACAACCAACUUAGCAACACCCAAAGUUUUUGCAAGUUGUACAUGCUCACGAGUCUGUCCUCCUUUUUCAAAUCCAGUUUCGAAUUCACCCUUACGAGCAGAUAUGACCAGAACUCCAAUAUCAGCUUGAGAUGCACCACUGAUCAUGUUUGGCACAUAACUUUUAUGACCCGGAGCAUCUAAAAUUGUGAAUCUUGUAUUUUCUGUCUCAAAAUGAGAAUUAUUUCAAACCUUCUAUACCCCAUACUACUAUAUAAAGGAAACUACCAUCCAAUUCUACAAGACUCUUCAAUCUACAGUAUGUGCUCGCCUUUUCCUCUUCCAAGCUUACCUUCAACCUUUUUUCUCUUCUCCCAAUUUUAUCCUUUUAAAAAUGACAGAUUAUAAAUACAUUCUGUCUUAUAAUAACCAAACUAAAUGUGUAUCCAAUUGUUUCACAACUGAAGACCACUUGGUGCAUCAAAUCAUGAUCAUUCAUCCUGAAUUAUAGUACCAUUUGCAGCACAUGUAAUGGGAUCACAACCAUAUACGUUGUUCAGAUCAAGAGUUGAAGUACUGGCUACCAGUGCCUACACUAGUAUAAAACCAGUACGGCAUGCAUCCAUAUAUUAUGGUGCCAUACUAAAACAAACCACCCAUUGGUGCUGGCACAGCAUGACUAAGAUGCAUAGCAAGAAAUGUACCAGUACUUUACUAGUACAUACACUGGUAUGCACCAGUACUUUACUGGUACACACACUGGUAUGCACCAGUACUUAAAUCCUUUAUUUGAAAUAAAAAGAAAAAUUAAUGGUAAACUACGUGAUUCAUUAAUUACUCCUUUCUGUUUGAUGCAUCACAUGCAAUAUAAUGUAUGAAAUCCAUCAUGCCCAUUCUGGGUGCCAAUAAUUGGUUGGCAACUAGAAGAAAUAGAAGUGAUUUCUGACCUGAGAGGACCUUUAGGAUCCCGUGGAGGAACUUCAAUUGAAUCCAGAACUUCAAACAAGCAUGGACCAUUCCACCAAUCACAAAUGCUUUUCUCCACUCUAGUCUUCAUAUUGGUACCCACCAAACCAGAGAUAGGAAGAAAUUGAACAUCUGGAUAAAGUGCAUAAGGAACAGAUAACUGCAUCAGUGAGUACUGAACCUCAUUUUUUAAUGAUAAUGAUGAAUUGAUCAUUAUCUUUCACUUCAAAUCUUAACACAUAAAAGAAAUGAUGGGUACAAUUUUAGCAAAAAUAUCCAUAGCAAACGGAAAAAUCACAAGGUCCAUACUCAUGGCAGAACCCAAGAAUAACAAUUUAAAGAGGCUUGCAUGGUAGAUCAAAAAUAAUUCCUUGAAAGAGGCAAACUUAAUUAAUUGCAUCUAAACAAAAAUAUGGUUGGCAAGUUUCACAUCAUUCCUUAAACUUUUAAAGCAAGAGAACAAGCACCACCAAAAAAGGAACCUAGUGCGCUGUUAAAAUAAAUACUCAAUAAUUGUACCCAAAAAAAAAAUUGGCCGAAGCUAUGAAGCAGAGACAUGGAUAUACGAAAAUAAGGCAUGAUGUGAAUACACCAAUACAGAACUUGAAAAAUAUGAUCCAGUGGCAGGAAUGUUGCAAUCAAUAAAUAUGCAUUUACUUUACAUACAUGUUAUUUAUGUUACAUACAAGCGAAAAAGAUUGCUGAAAACAUAAUGGGAUAUUAUAGCAACACAGUCCAUAUUCUGCAAUAACAUAAACAUCCACAAACUCCAGUUAGUUAUCAUUCUAAUUCACAGAUCAAAAUUCAUACUCCAUCCUAUCACAUCAACAUCACAAUCUAUAAUUUCCCACCCAUGAUGUCCAUGAUUAAGAGGUUAAGAUUUAUGGGGAAAAAGGCUCCAUAAUCCUUCAUCUCUAAAUCCAACUGCUGCUUCCCUCUCUCUCCCUCAUCAUUAAAAAAUUAAGAUUCAUAACCCCCAAAAACAACUCCCACCUCACCUCAAAGUCCAACCACAGCAUCCCCCUUUAUCUCUCUCCUCCCUAUUGGAAUUAGGGCAGAUUAUCUUGAGAUCGAGGAUUUAAGUACCAGGUGAUAUCACUCCAUACCGCCUAGACAGGGCAUACCAUAACAGACCAUCAGGGAGCUCACAUUCAAUAUGCCCCCUGCACUAAGUGCCAAUACCAAGGAUGUACCAUAAGUACACUCAGUACGGCCUGCAUUGGUUGGGUGUAAAUACAGGUGCUGAAACCAAUAAUUAAAUCCUUGCAUGAGAUAGGGGCUAGAGGCCCAAGUUUAGCGGAUGUCAAUCUAGGUUCAAAACCAGCCUAACCCAACCCAAUGCCCAAUCAAUUGUCCAGAGACACAUCCAAGAAAUAUCUAAGGGCUUUCUAAUACUUAAAAUUGUUGUUUAAUGUUUGUCCAGCUGUACUCGAUGAGUCAAGAUAUAUGAUUCAUACUUGGAAUGGCCACAGCAUGCAACUUUGAAGCAUCAGUGAGUCCUAACCAAGAAAGGCAAUGCAUAGAAUUGCCAAUGACCAAAUGACUAGUUUUAUGUAACAGUGUAUUGAUUUGGAAUAAAUAAGCCUCCUCAGAUCAAAAUGUAACAACCAAUAGAUUCAUCAACAGCUUGUUGACGUGGAUAGUGGAAUCUAAUGGAUUGUACUACCCACGAUUUGGAUCGUACAGUCCAAAAAAGUGGAUCACCUGAUCAUUUCCAAAAACAAUGCGGAUACCCGACUUGGACAUUUGGCAAUCGAACAGUAGCCAGCCAGCUCAUCAAUGUUUACUGGUGGAUAAGUCAGUGGCGAUGGGUACAGUGGCACCAGUGGCUAAUGCUAGUACCACACUUGGAUAAUCUUUUUUUUUAACCUCUCCCUCUCCCCCCCCCCCAAUCACCCACCAGGAAAAGAAAAAAAACUUUUUCUUUUUCUUCUACUGAUUUUUUUUUCAUCUGCUUCCCCUGUUUUUCUGUUUUCCCCUUGCUAUACUUGCUAGCCUUUGUUUUGCCUGCCUCCUUCCCCUCAACCUUUUCUUCUUCAUGUUCGUUUUGCAGCACAUUUGCUACUGCUUCCCAGCCAUUCUCCUUCUCUUUCUCCUUGCCAGGGGCUGGCUUCCUUGCUACAGCCCUGCAUCCUAUUGUGUGCUGCAGUGGCAGCAAUGCUGUUGCUGCCCUCCAUUUCUUCUUCUUGUGGACUUUGAUCUUUGGUCAUUUACGCAUGAAAACCGGUCUAAUGAUGCCAUAUAUAGUGAAAAAGGUUCAUGUGCGUGUGCACAUGGUUAUGCAUAUCAUCAAAAGCAUGUAUAUUACUAAAGGUGUGCAUAAUUAAGGCAUGGAAGCUUUCCUCCCUAUGCAGCUGCCAAAACCUAGGCUCCCACCUAGGUCGUAUAGAGGAGGGUCCACUGCUUGGGCUUGCCCAGGCAGUUCGACAAGCAGGAGAUUAGGUUUUUAUUUGCUCAACCUGCAAGUUGUUUAGUCACCGGUCACCCAACCAGGUUGUUCAAAUAGUUGGUGCACCCAAUUCACCGGUUUGGGCAGGUUCACCAACUACUGAACUCCAAGUUUUACCAUGAUAUAACAUGCUUAGCAGGUGGCAGGUUAACCGGGUCAACCCAAACGGUCAACCAGGUUUCAAAAAGCUGCUUAGCACAACUUUGAAAUAUAUGGUUGUGAGCUAACUAAACUAGCAAAGAUAUCAUAAGAGAAAGCAGCACCAACCAACAAAUGAAAAUAGCUCACAACACCAAAAAUAAAUAAAUAAAUAAGCUAAAAUACUCGUCCACCAAUAUAGCAAUAGUGUGCAUGGUAAAGCAAGAAUGCAACAAAAAAGCAGCCCAGCACACGAGUCUCCUGCCACUACAAGGUUUGAGGAGGGUCAAAUAUACGCAGCAUUACCCUACAUGCUAAGAGGUUGUUUCUAUAUUUUGAACCCAUGGCACUGUCGUCAUAGUGGAGCAACCUUACUGCUGCACUAAGGCUCACCCUCAAAGUAAGAAUGCAAUGUCAUAUUUAAUUCUACCAACCAAACAACCAUUACAAGAAUAUGAAAAAGAAAAUAAUGUUGAUGACAGAACGAGGAUUCCUGAAAAUUUUGCAUGUUUGCUGUUCUUUUAUUUCAAAAAAAUAGUUCAGAAUGAAAACAAUUCAAUUAAAAAGCCAACACAGAAAUGUCAAAUAAGUAGAUGAUCGACAAAAAAAAAAGUGAAUAUGAAAAGGUAAUGGGUCAAGUAAAUUAUAUAAGUAGAUGAUCACAAAAAAAAAGUGGAUAUGAAAAGGUAAAGAUGUGGGAAAGGGAAUAAAAUCAAUAGUGGGAAAAUGUGAAAAGCAUGAAUAUAGCUCAUGAAAACUUGACCACAAUACCUUUCCUUAAGUAACCUGAAGACUUGAGGAAAGGACCCAUCUUACUCUCUAUUUCAUCAAACCUGAAAAGAAAAAGCCCGAAAAAAAACAAAAAACCUACCAAUCUUGAGCAGAAAGAUCAUAAAUUUAAAUUACUCACAGAAAAAAAAGGAUGAGAACAUUCGAACAAACCUUUCUUUGGACCAUUUCACGGUAGGUUCAUCCAUUUUGUUGACAACAACAACCAACUUAGCAACACCCAAAGUUUUUGCAAGUUGUACAUGCUCACGAGUCUGUCCUCCUUUUUCAAAUCCAGUUUCGAAUUCACCCUUACGAGCAG